rnacentral:rRNA from 1 species
AGUGAACGCUGGCGGCAGGCCUAACACAUGCAAGUCGAACGGCAGCACAGUAAGAGCUUGCUCUUACGGGUGGCGAGUGGCGGACGGGUGAGGAAUACAUCGGAAUCUACUUUUUCGUGGGGGAUAACGUAGGGAAACUUACGCUAAUACCGCAUACGACCUACGGGUGAAAUCAUGGGAUCUUCGGACCUUGCGCGAUUGAAUGAGCCGAUGUCGGAUUAGCUAGUUGGCGGGGUAAAGGCCCACCAAGGCGACGAUCCGUAGCUGGUCUGAGAGGAUGAUCAGCCACACUGGAACUGAGACACGGUCCAGACUCCUACGGGAGGCAGCAGUGGGGAAUAUUGGACAAUGGGCGCAAGCCUGAUCCAGCCAUACCGCGUGGGUGAAGAAGGCCUUCGGGUUGUAAAGCCCUUUUGUUGGGAAAGAAAAGCAGCAGGUUAAUACCCCGCUGUUCUGACGGUACCCAAAGAAUAAGCACCGGCUAACUUCGUG